rnacentral:tRNA from 1 species
GGGAAUGUAGCUCAAGUAGAGUUACUGCCUUUUGGCCAGCAAUUUGGGUUCAAAUCCCAACAAUCCCU